rnacentral:lncRNA from 12 species
GGUUAUUCCUCCCACUUUAUACAGGAAAAAGUGGUGGAGAAGACAGAGAGGCCAAGACACUGACCUAUGUUCCCAAAUUGAGCACACAGGCUGCAGAGCAGCAACCUCAUCCCCACCCAACAGAACAUCCUGCGGUUGGAAAAUCACAGGCGUGUCUGCAACCCUCCGGAGGAGAGAGAGUGAUUCAAAGGCUGUGAUGGAAAACAGAGAACCAGACUUCAGGUGUAAACUGGAGAGAGCUUUGCUGCCAGCAAGGCAUCCUUUGAGGUGGCUGCAGCUCAAAAGGGAUGAAAUGAGAAGAGCCAGAGUUUGA